rnacentral:rRNA from 1 species
UACGGAGGGUGCAAGCGUUGUUCGGAAUUACUGGGCGUAAAGCGCACGUAGGCGGACUGGAAAGUCAGAGGUGAAAUCCCAGGGCUCAACCUUGGAACUGCCUUUGAAACUAUCAGUCUGGAGUUCGAGAGAGGUGAGUGGAAUUCCGAGUGUAGAGGUGAAAUUCGUAGAUAUUCGGAGGAACACCAGUGGCGAAGGCGGCUCACUGGCUCGAUACUGACGCUGAGGUGCGAAAGCGUGGGGAGCAAACAGG